CAGUAGCCGCGGUAAAACGUAGGGUGCAAGCGUUAAUCGGAAUUACUGGGCGUAAAGCGUGCGCAGGCGGUUUUGUAAGACAGAGGUGAAAUCCCCGGGCUCAACCUGGGAACUGCCUUUGUGACUGCAAGGCUAGAGUACGGCAGAGGGGGAUGGAAUUCCGCGUGUAGCAGUGAAAUGCGUAGAUAUGCGGAGGAACACCGAUGGCGAAGGCAAUCCCCUGGGCCUGUACUGACGCUCAUGCACGAAAGCGUGGGGAGCAAACAGGAUUAGAUACCCCCGUAGUCCCUGUCUCUUAUAC
rnacentral:rRNA from 1 species